GCGUAUGAAGUACGUUUCACCUCGGGUGACAGGGAGACAGGUGGUGCAUGUUGUCGUCAGCUCGUGUCGUGAGAUGUUGGGUUAAGUCCCGCAACGAGCGCAACCCCUACGUUUAGUUGCUAACGCGUGAAGGCGAGCACUCUAGACGAACUGCCGUUGACAAACGGAGGAAGUGGGGAUGACGUCAAAUCAUCAUGCCCCUUAUGUUCUGGGCUACACACGUGCUACAAUGGCCGGUACAGACGGACGCAAAGCCGCGAGGCGGAGCAAAUCCUAAAAAGCCGGUCUCAGUUCGGAUUGCAGGCUGCAACUCGCCUGCAUGAAGUUGGAGUUGCUAGUAAACGCAGGUCAGCCAUACUGCGUUGAAUACGUUCCCGGGGCUU
rnacentral:rRNA from 1 species